AGAUUUCCGAAGUACUGAAACGCGCGCCAUACAGGCUUGGUGGAUCUAGGUGCAAGGUACUGCAGGCAACUACUACAACACUACUGAACCGGUACAAACUGCAGGUACUGCAGGCAACUACUACAUCACUACUGAACCGGAUCAUUCACGUAGUAACAAAGGAAAAUAUCUACAGAAAGAAUGUACGAGUAUAAGCGAAAAAAGCGACUCCAAUACAACAACAGAUGGAUGCAAGUAU